UACGUAGGCAGCAAGCGUUGUUCGGAGUUACUGGGCGUAAAGUGUGCGCAGGCGGCCGAGCAAGUCGAGUGUGAAAGCCCCGGGCUUAACUUGGGAAUUGCGCUCGAAACUACUUGGCUGGAGUGUGGCAGAGGAAGGUGGAAUUCCAGGUGUAGCGGUGAAAUGCGUAGAGAUCUGGAGGAACACCGAUGGCGAAGGCAGCCUUCUGGGCCAACACUGACGCUCAUGCACGAAAGCGUGGGGAGCAAACAGG
rnacentral:rRNA from 1 species